GAUGAACGCUGGCGGCGUGCCUAAUACAUGCAAGUCGAGCGAACAGACGAGGAGCUUGUUCCUCUGACGUUAGCGGCGGACGGGUGAGUAACACGUGGAUAACCUACCUAUAAGACUGGGAUAACUUCGGGAAACCGGAGCUAAUACCGGAUAAUAUAUUGAACCGCAUGGUUCAAUAGUGAAAGACGGUUUUGCUGUCACUUAUAGAUGGAUCCGCGCCGCAUUAGCUAGUUGGUAAGGUAACGGCUUACCAAGGCAACGAUGCGUAGCCGACCUGAGAGGGUGAUAGGCCACACUGGAACUGAGACACGGUCCAGACUCCUACGGGAGGCAGCAGUAGGGAAUCUUCCGCAAUGGGCGAAAGCCUGACGGAGCAACGCCGAGUGAGUGAUGAAGGUCUUCGGAUCGUAAAACUCUGUUAUUAGGGAAGAACCAAUGUGUAAGUAAAUAUGCACGUCUUGACGGUACCUAAUCAGAAAGCCACGGCUAACUACGUG
rnacentral:rRNA from 1 species